GGGCCGAUAGCUCAGUUGGUAGAGCAGGGGACUUUUAAUCCCAAGGUCGUUGGUUCGAUUCCAACUCGGCCCA
rnacentral:tRNA from 1 species